rnacentral:rRNA from 1 species
UACGGAGGGUGCGAGCGUUAAUCGGAAUUACUGGGCGUAAAGGGCGCGUAAGCGGCUGAUCAAGUCAGGUGUGAAAGCCCACGGCUUAACCGUGUGAAGUGCAUCUGAAACUGCAAGACUUGAGUACCAGAGGGGAAGGUGGAAUUCCCGGUGUAGAGGUGAAAUUCGUAGAUAUCGGGAGGAAUACCGGUGGCGAAGGCGACCUUCUGGCUGGAUACUGACGCUGAGGCGCGAAAGCGUGGGGAGCAAACAGGAUUAGAAACCCCCA